rnacentral:rRNA from 1 species
UACAGGGGGUGCAAGCGUUGUUCGGAAUUACUGGGCGUAAAGCGUGCGCAGGCGGCGCGUUAAGACAGGUGUGAAAGCCCCGAGCUUAACUUGGGAAUUGCGCUUGUGACUGGCGUGCUGGAGUGUGGCAGAGGGAGGUGGAAUUCCACGUGUAGCAGUGAAAUGCGUAGAGAUGUGGAGGAACACCGAUGGCGAAGGCAGCCUCCUGGGCCAGCACUGACGCUCAUGCACGAAAGCGUGGGGAGCAAACAGG